ACACAGUCACCACCGACAUCACCAACACUCCGCAGGUGGCAGACAUGGGGGGGGGUUGUGUGUGUGUGUGUAGCAAGAUCUAUAAAGAAAAUAUGAAUAGUGACACCUAACCCUUACACAGUGCUUACUAUGUGCCAGGCACUACUCAAAAGAACUGCAGUAUAUGAGGUGGGUGCUAUAAUCACAUCCGCUUAUAGAGAAGAAAAUCAAGGCACAGAGAGGUUAAGGGAUUUGUCUAACAUGACACAGCUGGUUAGUGGCAGAGCUGAGAUUUGAACCCAAGAGUCCUGUGUCUGGAGUCCAUGCUUUAACCACUAUACUACUCUCUGUCUCCCAUCCCCCAUAAGUUCCAAGCAAGAGGACAAAGGCAUGCUGAGUGCUGCCUGGAAGAGCCCCAGCACCUCUCAGACUGGUCCCUCCCGCACUGCUCUCCAUCUGGGGGAUGGUACCUCCAUCUACCCCAAGGCUCAAGCCAGAAACCGUGAUUCCUCCUCUCUCAGCCCCCACAUACCAGCAGUCCUGAAAGGCCUAGACAUUCCACCUCUUUAAGUGUCUCUGGACGUCUUCCCAGGCCAAUGAACAGCUCCAGAAAGGCUAAUACCGUGAGAAAUGACCUUUCAGACCACCUGCUCAGUACCAAUGAGCCCAGGCCUGACCUGAUCUCUGGCACAGAAACACGUGUGUGCAGUGAUGACCAUCCAUCGCUAAGCACCCACUCUGCACCAGACGUGAAAGACAAUGUUUAAAUGCUGCUGGGAAGGAGGAAGCAGACAGGGAGAGCGUGCCGACCCAGGAUCCAGUGGACAGCGAUGGGUGCAGUCCCGCAGGAGGGGAGGGUCCGGGGACCAGCGGGGUCAGCAGUUACAGUGUAAGAGGGCUUAGCCUUGCAGCGAGCAGGAAGGGAACCACUUUAUCCAGCACCCAGGGGCCCGGCAGCCUCUGCAAGUUUUAUGUA